GCAGCCGAGGCUGUAAUCUCAGAGACAAGGGGCCCAGACCUGGGAGGCUGGGCUGGAAACUGCCCCCUGCCCUGACUUCUCAGAGCAUAAAGGCUCUGUCCUUUGGGGAAGGUCAUCUCCCACCACAAUGCACAGACACCCAGCUACACAGCUCUGCCGCUCUUUCUGCAGUCUUGGUGGGGAAGCUAAGACCCCGGCUCUGGUCUCUUGAGACCUUGAGGAGCGUGACCAGCUCUCAAUCCCUAGUCUGCUCCAUGGAUCUGAGAACUUUGGGGCAUAUGUGGCAGAGGACGAGUAUCAAAGUCCUGCACUAAAACUCAGGCUUGCAAACCCAGCAACAGGAAUGCUGCCCAGCACUGCAGCGCCGGCAGAGCAGAGAAGAACCGGCCUCCACCUUCCAUCCUCUUGGAACACCAGCGGGAGCCCUGCUCCAGACCAGCCGUUCUCCCACGGCGGGUUAUGGGUUGGGACAGGCAGAGGUACCUGGGUCGUCAAACCAGGAACAUUAUCUUUCCAGGUGCAAUAAACAUACUGAGGCAUAAGCAAGCAGAAGAAGCUGAGCCACGGGUGCUACUCAUGUUUCCAGAUCACUCUGUAGGGCUACUCUCUGCCCUCCAGCCCUAGGCUAGUACUCAUACCGUGGAACCCAGGAGGCCUCAGUCGGUGAGGGCUACAGGAUGACAGCACGGCUGCCCCUGUGCUCUGCUGUGAGCUCCCUGCGUGCAUCUCUGGGAGCGAGGAGCGAGCCAGCUGUGUCUCCUCCCGUUUGCAAGCCCACUUUACGGAGGCAGUCACCUCAGCCCUCCAAGUAUUCCCAAACCACCCCUCCAGCUUCCGGAAAGAGAGAAGGAAUAAGAAACCAGAACCAGAAAAUGUAAAAGGGACUGGAGAACAAAACAAGGGCAUCUUUUAUCACCCCCUCUUCACAAGUGCAGGACUGCCCGAUUUUUAAAACAAGGUAAAUCGUGUUACUCGGCCCUCUUCCCCUUCUAGUUGCUGUCUAAUCUCUCAACUCACUGCCAAGCUCCUCAAAUGCCGGGGUCACACCCACUGCCUCCACUUCCUGGCCACUCAUCCUUUUCUUAAUACCUUGCUGCAGCCUGGCUCUGCCCUGUGACUGCAGAAGGUGCUUGCUCCAAGAUCACCCGAGUUCUUCCUCUGUGCCACCCUGACAUUCAGUCUGUCUUUGGCAUCUGACGCUAUGGCCACCUGCUCCUCUUGAAGAACUUCUUCUGGCUUUUAGGAAACUGCCCUUUUCUCGUGCUCCUUGGUGCUCUUUGAGUCGCCUUCUCCAAGCUCUCCAAUCUCAUGGCCGUCCCCCGAGGCAGUCGGUCUCAUGUACCAGCCCUGCCCGCCAGUCCCAUUAAUUCCAAUUUCCUACAGGGAUGCAGACCAUCUUCGUCAGGUGCCCCACUGUGACCUCCAACUCCCCUGAACCAAACACGUUUUCCUCUUCCUGCCCUCCUAAGAGCUUGUUCCCUUUUGCUGCUACCCCCAUCCUUGCCAACAUCACACAGUCAUGAGUCUGCCUUCCUCAUUUCCUGGGUCCAGUCUGGCAGCAAGGCAUUUUAUUUCUUCCUGAGAAAUCCUUCCAGCCUCGCCCUUUCCCCUUUGCAUCUGCUGGCCCUGCUCUUCUCCUGACCUUGAUCGUUACCCUAUCCUCCUCUCCAAUCUCCCUGCCUCCAACCUCUUCUCCCUCAAAGUGCCCAGUAAUACCUGUGCUGGGCCCUCGAACUCUGCUGUCAUGACAUCACAGUGACUGCUCCCAGGUCUACAGAGCUUUAGUCAUUCUUCACUACCUCUAGGACACUGUCUAUUUUGCUGGUCUGGGACACAUGGCAGAGUCAGCAGAAAGCACCUUGGAGUAAGACAGAAUGGGGCUUGAAUCCCAGCACCACACU